rnacentral:rRNA from 2 species
AAAUUGAAGAGUUUGAUCAUGGCUCAGAUUGAACGCUGGCGGCAGGCCUAACACAUGCAAGUCGAGCGGUAGCACAGAGAGCUUGCUCUCGGGUGACGAGCGGCGGACGGGUGAGUAAUGUCUGGGAAACUGCCUGAUGGAGGGGGAUAACUACUGGAAACGGUAGCUAAUACCGCAUAACGUCGCAAGACCAAAGUGGGGGACCUUCGGGCCUCAUGCCAUCAGAUGUGCCCAGAUGGGAUUAGCUAGUAGGUGGGGUAACGGCUCACCUAGGCGACGAUCCCUAGCUGGUCUGAGAGGAUGACCAGCCACACUGGAACUGAGACACGGUCCAGACUCCUACGGGAGGCAGCAGUGGGGAAUAUUGCACAAUGGGCGCAAGCCUGAUGCAGCCAUGCCGCGUGUGUGAAGAAGGCCUUCGGGUUGUAAAGCACUUUCAGCGGGGAGGAAGGCGAUAAGGUUAAUAACCUUGUCGAUUGACGUUACCCGCAGAAGAAGCACCGGCUAACUCCGUGCCAGCAGCCGCGGUAAUACGGAGGGUGCAAGCGUUAAUCGGAAUUACUGGGCGUAAAGCGCACGCAGGCGGUCUGUCAAGUCGGAUGUGAAAUCCCCGGGCUCAACCUGGGAACUGCAUUCGAAACUGGCAGGCUAGAGUCUUGUAGAGGGGGGUAGAAUUCCAGGUGUAGCGGUGAAAUGCGUAGAGAUCUGGAGGAAUACCGGUGGCGAAGGCGGCCCCCUGGACAAAGACUGACGCUCAGGUGCGAAAGCGUGGGGAGCAAACAGGAUUAGAUACCCUGGUAGUCCACGCUGUAAACGAUGUCGAUUUGGAGGUUGUGCCCUUGAGGCGUGGCUUCCGGAGCUAACGCGUUAAAUCGACCGCCUGGGGAGUACGGCCGCAAGGUUAAAACUCAAAUGAAUUGACGGGGGCCCGCACAAGCGGUGGAGCAUGUGGUUUAAUUCGAUGCAACGCGAAGAACCUUACCUGGUCUUGACAUCCACAGAACUUAGCAGAGAUGCUUUGGUGCCUUCGGGAACUGUGAGACAGGUGCUGCAUGGCUGUCGUCAGCUCGUGUUGUGAAAUGUUGGGUUAAGUCCCGCAACGAGCGCAACCCUUAUCCUUUGUUGCCAGCGGUCCGGCCGGGAACUCAAAGGAGACUGCCAGUGAUAAACUGGAGGAAGGUGGGGAUGACGUCAAGUCAUCAUGGCCCUUACGACCAGGGCUACACACGUGCUACAAUGGCAUAUACAAAGAGAAGCGACCUCGCGAGAGCAAGCGGACCUCAUAAAGUAUGUCGUAGUCCGGAUUGGAGUCUGCAACUCGACUCCAUGAAGUCGGAAUCGCUAGUAAUCGUAGAUCAGAAUGCUACGGUGAAUACGUUCCCGGGCCUUGUACACACCGCCCGUCACACCAUGGGAGUGGGUUGCAAAAGAAGUAGGUAGCUUAACCUUCGGGAGGGCGCUUACCACUUUGUGAUUCAUGACUGGGGUGAAGUCGUAACAAGGUAACCGUAGGGGAACCUGCGGUUGGAUCACCUCCUUACCUUAAAGAA